GUGCUUGCUUUGGCAGCACAUUUACUAAAAUUGGGAUGAUACAGAGAUGAUUAGUGUGGCCCCUACUCAAGGAUGAUAUGCAAAUUUGUGAAGCUUCACAUAUUUUU